GGGCGUGUUCCCGAGUGGCCAAUGGGGACAGACUGUAAAUCUGCUGCUUUUCAGCGUCGGUGGUUCGAAUCCACCCGCACCCA
rnacentral:tRNA from 1 species